CUGACUUUCAUCCAUUACUUAAAACCUCUUUGAUCUAUAUAAUGCAGUUGCAAUUUAUUAUAUUAGCAACUAAAGGUGCAACUUCAGAUGCAACCUUAGCAACAUCCCCAGCCUGAUUUGUAGUUCUAACAGUUGAAAGUUAGUUCAGGAUACCUGCCAAGCACAUUUCGCUGCUUGUCCCUUUGAAACUGAGUGCAAUGAAGAGAACAGGCAGACAGUAUUCUCAGACUGGAAUGAGCACUGUGUCCUUGAAUGUUAUAUAUUGGUCAACCACCAGCAUCUUCCAAGAGGAUUGCAGUGCCUGCUCCCUGAGAGAAGGCUGGCUGACAAAGGGGGAAAAUUGCAUAGGCUGUCCAUGUGGGUACAACAUGAAUACGUGACGUUGGAUGAUGUAGAAUAUGCUGCUCUGCUUUUGAAAGAAGUUAAUGACUCACAUCACAUUACCUUUUGUAGCUGUAUGAGAUCUGGAAACUUCACAGUGACCAUUCCACCUUCUACUUAGGAAUGAGAAACCAAAGGAUUUCCUCAUGGCCCUGCUCUUCUUCCUACCUUUUCACCUGGGAAAAAUUGCCCUGGAAUUACCUGGAAAAGGAAUGCAGAUCCUUGAUUUUGUGAGUACAUUAGGGAUACAAGUACACAGAGCUUGCCUCAGCAAAUCUGGAAUCAUAGAUCAGUCUUUUGGGUAA
rnacentral:lncRNA from 1 species